rnacentral:lncRNA from 1 species
AAAAUUCUGAAAAAUUCAAAGCGGUUGCUUCUUGAAGAACUUCAGAAGUAACUUAUAAAUCUAGAAAUUCUCUAAGCAAUUACUGGAAAUUUUGUUAGUAUUUAUCCCAAUUAACUUUUUGAAAUAAUGAUAGUUUUUCUUUGAUUCUGGUGUGCAAACGAGUGGAGUUCUGGGUAUUUGUUUUAAAAGUUGGUUGGGAUUUAUUGUUGAAAAAUACUGUUUCAUUGCUGAUUUGAGCGGAUUUCAUUGUUCCAUUGGCUGUUGAUGGGUUGAUUCCUUACUCCUUUGUCUCUAUUUCAUUUUUCAGGUACUUGUUCUUAAACUUGUAGAGUUGAUGCUCAAAUUGGAAUUGAAAUGGAGUUGUGAUUCAUAAUAUAGCUUUACUUUCAUGGAUCUCCCUCUUUUAAGCUUUCAUAAUUAAGUUUUUUGUGUAAUUGAAUAUGCCACUAGAUAUUGUCUUUAUUUAUAUGGAUUUAAUUGGUUUUGCUUGAAGGCAGAGGCUUGAGUCCAUGUUUUGUCUGAUUUUUUUUUUUUUAGUUCAGUUGUGUUAUGUAUGCUUUGUUCAUGAUUGUCAAUGUUAACUCAUUUUAAAAGUUGUAUUUGAGAUAUGUUUUGAAUACUGUUUGAGCCCGGGAAUGACUCAUGUCUUGAUGAUAUGUACAAGUGGAUAACCACUAUUUCUCUAGUUUAAUUUGGUCGAUAUUGCCGAAUUUUGCAUAUAAGUUGAACUGGUGGCCAGAUUUAGAUUUGCCUAACCUUUUCGUUUGAUCUAUAUUCAGAUUUGCUCCAGGUUUAGUUUGGUUCACAGGUUAUGUGCUUUGAUUUUGUGUAUAAAUCACAUUUAGAAUUCGUUUUGGGUAGUUGUGUUUUCGAAGAACCAUGAUUCAAAUAAUGGAUCGAUGGUUUGAUAGUUUACAAAUUUAAUUAAGCUAUACAAGGUUCUUCGUUGUUGCUGGCAGGUUCAUAAUUGUGAUUCAAACUUCACAUAAUAUGUUUGUUACUUAGCAUAUUCAAAAUUGAAAUGCGAAUUUUGUUAUUCAAUGUUCUGAUUUAUUCCCUCUUUGUGGUUGUUUAGUUUACAGUAUGAGUUAUAGUUAUAAUAUGAGUUUUGCUAUUCGAAAUUUUGGUCUAAAAUUGCAGCGUGGGUCAUACGAUUAUAAACACUUGAUGAAAAAUAAUUAAUCAAUUUUAUGGGGCCAUGACUUGUAAUAAGGAGGUAAGAAUAGACACGGGCUGGAUUGAGUACACGUCUGCCAAGCCCAAUAGACUAAGUUAAUAUAAUGGUCUCAUAAUUUUAAAGAUGGAGUAGAUAAUUCUUUUCAUAAUUCUCAUACCUUGUGACAAUCUCGGAUUAACAUUAGGAAUAAUUAGUUUCUUUAUAUGAACAUUUCGUAGUUUGCUUUAGCCGAGUAUAAUUUUUAGAAUAAUUCGAGCUGAACCGAGCAAAAUAAAUCUUAAAAUGCAUGGCCUUAAUUUUAAUCAACCUGUGAAUCCUUAGAAUUCGGGGCGCGUUAUUUAGCAAAUUUAUAUUGCCCCUGCAAAAACUAAAAACGCAUAGUCGCUUUAGGCGCAUUGUUUAAAUAAUCUACCUUCCUAAACUCUGUGCGCAUUUAUGCGACACAAAUCCAAGUCACAACGUUAGAUAAAAUGUGUCGUGGGCUGCGUGUGUAUUUAUGUGACGUAGUUCAAGACAUAUUUUAAAUGACGUUGCAAUCUCCUUUAAAUAAAAAAACGGUUAAAGUUAAAAUUGCACAUAGGUUCAAAAAUGCUUAAAAUCAGACAAUUAGGCCAAUAAUAAUAUUUGAGAGACCGUGCUAGAACCACAUAACUUGGGAGUGCCUAACACCUUCUCCCGGAUUAACAGAAUUCCUUGCCCGAAUUUUUGGUUCGCGGACUGUAAUACAUAGUCAAUCCUUUCCUCGAUUUGGGAUUUUGAACCGGUGACUUGGGACACCAUAAAUCUCCAAGUGGUGACUCUGAAUCUCUUAGUAAACAAUCCCGUUUCGAUUGUCAUUUUAAUUGAAAAAACUCCCUUAUCUACGUCCUUCGCAGGGCGUCAUGUAAAAAAGGAGGCGUGAUACCGACCAAAACCGAGACCGAAUGAGAUCGAUCUCGAUCAAGAUCGGGACCGAAUAAGAUAGAGAUCGAGGGAAGCUUACUGGGUCGAAUUUCUGCAUGACGAAAUAUUCGCAAUCAGGCGAGGAUCAUGGCGCAAUUCUCGACACGCAUAAGAAGAUACUGAUUGAUUAGC